CUCAUAGUGAUGUAGGAUGAAUAAGAAAGAAAGAAGAAGGAACGGGGAGGAGAAACAGAGAGAAGGGAGAAGAGGAGAAGAAACCAGGGGAAGAGAGGGGAGGGAGAAAACGGCUGCAAGCCACCAAAAAUAUUUCAAUUCUAAUUCAUCAUCAACUGUCUCAAAUGAGAAACAAAACAGAAAUAAAUAGUAGAACACAAACCCUAAAGAGAAGGGCUUGGGCCAAACCCACUAAACAAGCCCAAUAACAGAAAUAUAAAUAAUAAUCCAACUAGAAUAUAACUAAUAGUCCAAAAAGAAAAUAAAUAGUAAAUGGAAGAAAAUAAAUAGUAAAUGGAUGUCCGCAUCAACUCUCCCGGGGUGGGAGAAAAACUCGACCCCAUCGAGUGGAUAAAUCAAAAUGUUGCAAUGAAUCUGAUGCUAAAGGCUCCAAGUUAUGCCAUGGGGGACGAUCUCUCUGACGAACCAAAUAUCGAAAUUCCACAAAUGGUGACGAUGCCAAUUGUAAAUUACCCGCAAAAACAUGAGACUGCUGAAGUCUCUCUUUGGGAAUCCAUGUGCCGUCAGAAUCAAGUCGAUCCAUCCAACGAACAAGAAAGUUUUGAAUCUCUCUAUUAUUGGUCAACACAAGCUGUUCAUCCAAAAUAACAUCAAUUUUAUUUUUGUGUGCUGUGAUAGGUGAGAUUGAAGCAGACAUGGCAAAAGAGUCAGUGUGGGAAUUCUUAUGUGGGAG
rnacentral:lncRNA from 1 species